AUUGAACGCUGGCGGCAGGCCUAACACAUGCAAGUCGAGCUAGCGGCGGACGGGUGAGUAAUGCCUGGGAAUUGCCCAGUCGAGGGGGAUAACAGUUGUAUACGACUGCUAAUCCCGCCUACGAUUGGCUUGCCCAGGUGGGAUUAGCUAGUUGGUGAGAUAAUGGCUCACCCAGGCGACGAUCCCUAGCUGGUCUGUGAGGAUGAUCAUCCACCCGGGAACUGAGACACGGUCCUGACUCCUUCGUGAGGCAGCAGUGGGGGAUAUUGCACAAUGGGGGAAUCCCUGAUGCAGCCCUGCCGCGUGUGUGAAGAAGGCCUGCGGGUUGUAAAGCACUGUCAGCGAGGAGGCGUUACUCGCAGAAGAAGCACCGGCUAACUCCGUGCCAGCAGCCGCGGUAAUUC
rnacentral:rRNA from 1 species